UCAAGUGAUGACAAACCUUUUUGUUGCUCGAAGACUCCGGUCGCUGUGGGCACAAUGAUUUCUCAAGACUACAACGGUAUCUGAUC
rnacentral:snoRNA from 1 species